ACUUAAUGGUUCGGGAAUUGCAUGAGUUUGUCAUUGAACCUUUUCCAUACCUCAUAUAAGGGCUCACCACUAAGUUGAUGAAAAUUUAUUAUUGUGUUUCUUAUUU
rnacentral:snoRNA from 1 species